GCGGGAAAUCCGAAAGGAGAAUUCUCCAGGGGAAAUGGGUCAGACGCCCCACCCCCGCCCGCCCCGGGAUUGGUGAGCCUUAGUCCACAGGCCUCCCGUUUUCCUCCGCCAUCGCCAGUCCCCACCAGGGCUUAGGGUCUCAUCUGACCUGCCACGCGCUUAGCCUCCCGGAGUCCCCACGGCCCGCACACCUCCUCAAGGCCUGUGACACAGUGAACACCAGCCACUGGGCAGGACAGAGGUCCGCUGCCCAAGGUCAUGAGGCAGGCAGGGUGGCGUCACGGGACAUUUAAAUUGUGACAUAGAACCAAUGAGGGUGCUGCUGCAGGUAGAGGGAUGUCACCAGUCACGCAGGAAGAUGUAAGGACGUCACCUGGUCAGGCUGGCGAUGCCACCAGAUAAUCAGAGGUGAUAUCUCUGGUGAAGGUACAUGGUGAUAGCCCAGACAAGGGGAGGUCAUGGGGCUGGUGAUGUCACAUUCGUCUAGAUUACCCAACAGCAAAGUAGGGCUCACAAAAAAUGAGGAACAGUUACUAAAAUCUGCUUAUUUCAGGGGUGCUGGGGGCUCAGUCAGUUGACCGUCUGACUUCGGCUCAGGUCCUGAUCUCGCCUUGGCGAGGCUCAAACUCACAAACCAGAGAUCAAGAGUCGCAGGCUCUACUGACCAAGCCAGCCAGGAUUAUUGGGAAGAUAAAUGAGACCCUAUUCUGAAAGCGCGCAGCACAUAGA